AUGUCCUCCUGGUCACCUCCCGGGAGAUCUUUCCUUCUAUUCGGCGCCAAAAUAAACGUCACGGGCUGCGGCUUCGACGUGUUGAUGCUCGAACACGACACGGGCACCAGCUCCAAAGUCUGCUCCAUCACCUGUCCCGGCCACGAGAUCACGGAGACGACGGCCAGGCAAGACUGCAACGGCACCUGGUGUUGCUCCGUCCCAUUUUGGUACAACCACCAUGGAUUUCAGUUCAGAUUUGUCCGGCGGCGCGGCGAGGAAAGCAGGGGCCACCACACAAGUUCCCUAUGGAACAAAAUCAGCGUGAUAACGGACUAUGCAAACCUGCAGUGGAAUGUGGUAGAUAGGCCAAGAUGUGUCGACGCUGAGGGAGACGCAGCCACCUACGCCUGCCUCAGCAACCAGAGCAGCUGCACCGAUAGCCCCUUCAUAGAUGGAGGCUACUCGUGCUCCUGCAACGGCGGGUACGUAGGCAAUCCCUCUGUCCCCGACGGCUGCUCGCGCGACAAAGGAUACAACCCAAUUCAAUGA
rnacentral:rRNA from 1 species